UGAAGACAGAGGAAAUAAGAAGGAGGGAACCCACAAUUUCUGAGUAAAUUAAAACAGCUUUGAGUCUUAUCUAUUUGGCUUUUAAAAGGAUUUCAAGAUGACUCUCCAAGAAAAUACAAACGCCUACUAUUCGUCUCCGAGAGAAAGAGGCUUCCCAAUCAGCUAACACAGCAAAUGAAUGUGACACUUGGAGCUUCAGCAGCCCUCGAGUGACUGCUACAAACCAGAAGACCACGAGUCACCUGCACUCUAAAGAAAGCUGGAGUAGAGAGCUAGAAAGAGUUGGUGUUCCUGUGUCUUCGCUGAGCUCUGUACCACCCUGGGGGACCUGCAGAUGGAUUUCACCCUAUGUGAACAAAUUCCAUCCUGGACAACUUCUCCAUUGUAACUAGUGUGCUAAGCAGGUCAGCUAAGAGAGCUGGUCUCACGACAAGAAUAAAGCCUUCCUGGAAUAGGUGUGGACUGGGG
rnacentral:lncRNA from 1 species